UCCCUGAUGGCUCAGAGGGUAAAGCAUCUGCCCGAAUUGCAGGAGACCCGGGUUCGACCCCUGGGUUGGGAA
rnacentral:tRNA from 1 species